UGCGGUAACGUGAUCAAUCCCAGAGCCCCGGGGAGAGUUCUCUUUUCUUUGUGAAUGGGCAGGGCACCCUGGAAUGGGUUCGCCCCGAGAGGGGGGCCCAAGCCCUGGAAAGUGUUGUGGUUUCGGCGGCGUCCAGUGAGCUCUCUCUGGCCCUUGAAAAUUAAGG
rnacentral:ncRNA from 1 species